AAUUAAGUUAAAGAUCUUGAGAUGCAGACAUUCUCUGGAUUAUCCAGGUGGGCUUGAUGUAAUCACAGGGUCUUUAUAAGAGGAAAGCAGGAGAAUCAAGAGAUGUAGAGUAGAAGAUGUGAUUACGGAAGCAGAGUUGCAGUGAUGCCGGAAAGGACCGUGAUUCAGAUGACCUCUGGAAGAAGGAAGAGGUUGAUAGGUCUCAUUCGCGUAAACAUUCAGGCAAUUCAACCUUGGAUUUCCUGCCAGGGCUGACUCUCCCCUGCUUCCCCAGCCUCUCUCAAUGCUGAUUUUGGUGGUGAUGGAGCCUGUCCCAUUGACUUUGGGAGGAUGUCAGUAUCUGCCACUGACCUUGAAUCAGAGCCGUCACUAGCUUACAUGGAGUAUUUGUCAGGAUCAGAGAGAAAUCCCUCCUGCAGGUAGACACAGCUGUACACGAGAUGGCAUGACUCUCCAGGCAGAACGUGGGAUGCACACCCCUUCCGUGGGCUCUUCGGCACAGGGCCAACCUGCACAACCAUUCAUGGAGGUCCUGCUACGAGCAUUGCCGCUCAUAAAAAGCUUCCCUCUUCUGCUCUCUCUGCAGCUCAGAGCCAGGUGUUUGUUGACCCACCAAGUCCUCCCUGAUGUCUCUCCACCUCAGAUGGGCAUGCAGUGCGUCUAGAUCCCUUUUAUAUCAGAGACCAUGGGGAGCCAGUAUUGUGGUCUCCAAUCUUGAUCUUAUCUCUCCAGAUACCUGUGAGCUAGAUCCUGGGACAGAGGCUACUUUCUGAGGGACACUAUGCACCAUGAAUGCAAGGACUACCCUAUCACCAGAGCAAGAGCUUAAGGCCUGAUCGAGCACACCCCAAUUUCCCUAUAUGCUAGUAGGCCCAGCACCUUUACAUUACUUCUAUCUGUAGUCUAGUCAAAGUGCUCUUAAAUUAAAGCACUUAAUUAAUUCCACCAAAAUAAAGAAGUAAAAGUUUGAAAUUAAUUCAUGCUCAAGUAGAUCUUGAUUUAAGCUUGUGUCUUGCAGUAGCCUGGUUCUGAGUAGACAGAUGGAACAGAGUAGCUUAUCACAUCUCCACAUCUUCCUGAUUUAUGUCAUAUUAUAUAACUUUGCUAUAUUGUUUGGGAAUAAUAAAGAGUUGACUGAACUAUGACU
rnacentral:lncRNA from 1 species